ACUGUCUCCCCACAUCCAACUAUUAACCUGAUCUCACUUCUUGUCUUAAUACCCUAACAUUCCUAGGUUAGACUUGUCUGGACUUGGGGCAGGCUUUUGUUUUCCUGAUCGGUUCCCGUGAAAAGUUAUGUUGUCAAAACACCCCACCUGCCUGCUGAUACAUCAUCUCAUUGAGUUUCCAGUUAGCACCGCUCAUGUUCUGAGUUCCGCC
rnacentral:lncRNA from 1 species